rnacentral:rRNA from 1 species
UACGUAGGGUGCAAGCGUUAAUCGGAAUUACUGGGCGUAAAGCGUGCGCAGGCGGUUCUAUAAGACAGAUGUGUAAUCCCCGGGCUCAACCUGGGAACUGCAUUUGUGACUGUAGAGCUGGAGUACGGCAGAGGGGGAUGGAAUUCCGCGUGUAGCAGUGAAAUGCGUAGAUAUGCGGAGGAACAUCAAUGGCGAAGGCAGUCCCCUGGGCCUGUACUGACGCUCAUGCACGAAAGCGUGGGGAGCAAACAGG